rnacentral:lncRNA from 1 species
GAGUUUCCGGGGGUGUGUUUGGAGGAGUUUCUGGUGGUGUGGUUGGAGGUGUCUUUGGUGUGUUUGGAGGAGUUCCCGGUGGUGUGUUUGGAGGUGUUUCUGGUGGAGUAUUUGGAGGACUUUGUGGGGGGGUGUUUGGUGGAGUUUCUGGUGGUGUGAUUGGAGGAGUUUCUGGUGGUGUGGUUGGAGGUGUCUCCGGUGGUGUGUUUGGAGGAGUUCCUGGUGGUGUGUUUGGAAGUGUCUCUGGUGGUGUGUUUGGAGGAGUUCCCGGUGGUGUGUUUGGAGGUGUUUCUGGUGGAGUAUUUGGAGGACUUUGUGGGGGGGUGUUUGGUGGAGUUUCUGGUGGUGUGAUUGGAGGAGUUUCUGGUGGUGUUGUUGGAGGUGUCUCCGGUGGUGUGUUUGGAGGAGUUCCUGGUGGUGUGUUUGGAAGUGUCUCCGGUGGUGUGUUUGGAGGAGUUCCCGGUGGUGUGUUUGGAGGUGUUUCUGGUGGAGUAUUUGGAGGACUUUGUGGGGGUGUGUUUGGUGGAAUUUCCGGUGGUGUGGUUGGAGAAGUUUCCGGUGGUGUGUUUGGAGAAGUUUCUGGUGGUGUGGUUGGAGGUGUCUCCGGUGGUGUGGUUGGAGGUGUCUCCGGUGGUGUGUUUGGAGGAGUUCCCGGUGGUGUGUUUGGAGGUAUUUCCGGUGGAGUGUUUGGAGGACUUUCUGGGGGCGUGUUUG